rnacentral:misc_RNA from 1 species
UUUCCGUAGGUGAACCUGCGGAAGGAUCAUUAUCGUACAAAAUGUGAGGGGCAUGCGAGGGCUGUCGCUGACCCAAAUGUCGUGCACGCCCGAGUGUGUCCUCUUGCAUAAUAAUCCAUCUCACCCUUUGUGCAUCACCGCGUGGGCACCCUUCGGGAUCAUCUCGGAGGGGGCUCGCGUUUUCACACAAACCCCCCUUUUAAAAGUGUAGAAUGACCACAUUUAUGCAAUCAAUACAACUUUCAACAACGGAUCUCUUGGCUCUC